UACGAAGGGGGCUAGCGUUGUUCGGAAUCACUGGGCGUAAAGCGCACGUAGGCGGACUUUUAAGUCGGAGGUGAAAUCCUGGAGCUCAACUCCAGAACUGCCUUCGAUACUGAGAGUCUUCGAGUUCGGGAGAGGUGAGUGGAACUGCGAGUGUAGAGGUGAAAUUCGUAGAUAUCGGGAGGAACACCAGUGGCGAAGGCGGCGACCUGGGCCAAUACUGACGCUGAGGUGCGAAAGCGUGGGGAGCAAACAGG
rnacentral:rRNA from 1 species